rnacentral:rRNA from 1 species
UAAAUUGACGGGGACCCGCACAAGCGGUGGAUGAUGUGGAUUAAUUCGAUGCAACGCGAAGAACCUUACUACCCUUGACAUGUCCGGAACUUGCCAGAGAUGGCUUGGUGCCCGAAAGGGAAUCGGAACACAGGUGCUGCACGGCUGUCGUCAGCUCGUGUCGUGAGAUGUUGGGUUAAGUCCCGCAACGAGCGCAACCCUUAUCAUUAGUUGCUACGCAAGGGCACUCUAAUGAGACUGCCGGUGACAAACCGGAGGAAGUGGGGAUGACGUCAAGUCCUCAUGGCCCUUAUGGGUAGGGCUUCACACGUCAUACAAUGGUCGGUACAGAGGGUUGCCAAGCCGCGAGGCGGAGCCAAUCCCACAAAGCCGAUCGUAGUCCGGAUUGUUCUCUGCAACUCGAGAGCAUGAAGUCGGAAUCGCUAGUAAUCGCAGGUCAGCAUACUGCGGUGAAUACGUUCCCGGGUCUU